rnacentral:rRNA from 1 species
GAUGAACGCUGGCGGCGUGCCUAAUACAUGCAAGUCGAGCGAACGGACGAGAAGUUUGCUUCUCUGAUGUUAGCGGCGGACGGGAGAGUAACACAUGGAUAACCUACCUAUAAGACUGGGAUAACUUCGGGAAACCGGCGAUAAUACCGGAUAAUAUUUUGAACCGCAUGGUUCAAAAGUGAAAGACGGUCUUGCCGUCACUUAUAGAUGGAUCCGCGCUGCAUUAGCUAGUUGGUAAGGUAACGGCUUACCAAGGCAACGAUGCAUAGCCGACCUGAGAGGUGGAUCGGCCACACUGGAACGGAGACACGGUCCAGACUCCUACGGGAGGCAGCAGUAGGGAAUCUUCCGCAAUGGGCGAAAGCCUGCCGGAGCAACGCCGCGUGAGUGAUGAAGGUCUUCGGAUCGUAAGACUCUGUGAUUAGGGAAGAACAGAUGUGUAAGGAACUGUGCACAUCUUGACGGUACCUAAUCAGAAAGCCACGGCUAACUACGUG